CCCCUAGAUGUUCUGGGCCGCACGCGCGCUACACUGAACAGUUCAACAAGUCUUAACCUUGGCCGAUAGGUCUGGGUAAUCUUUGAACGCUGUUCGUGAUUGGGAUAGACCUUUGCAAUUAUGGGUCUUCAACGAGGAAUUCCUAGUAAACGCAAGUCAUCAGCUUGCAUUGAUUACGUCCCUGCCCUUUGUACACACCGCCCGUCGCACCUACCAAUUGAAUGGUCCGGUGAAAUCUCGGGACGGCGGCUUGGUCGCUUGCGUCCGACUGCUGAAACUUGAUUAAACCAUAUCAUUUAGAGGAAGGUGAAGUCGUANCA
rnacentral:rRNA from 1 species